rnacentral:rRNA from 1 species
CAGCCGCCGCGGGAAUACGAAGGGUGCAAGCGUUACUCGGAAUUACUGGGCGUAAAGCGUGCGUAGGUGGUGGUUUAAGUCCGUUGUGAAAGCCCUGGGCUCAACCUGGGAAUUGCAGUGGAUACUGGGUCACUAGAGUGUGGUAGAGGAUAGUGGAAUUUCCGGUGUAGCAGUGAAAUGCGUAGAGAUCGGAAGGAACAUCUGUGGCGAAGGCGACUAUCUGGGCCAACACUGACACUAAGGCACGAAAGCGUGGGGAGCAAACAGGAUUAGAUACCCCAGUAGUCCCUGUCUCUUAUAC